ACAAAGCAAUAAAUGAAACCAUAAAAAGCAACAAAAACCCAACCACCCAAGCAGACUAUCCAGAUUCCAGAGCAUCUAAAACAUAGACCUCUUCAGAUGCUCAUAUUGAAGCAAAGAAAAAUCUCCACAAAUCUGCUAAAAACCCACAAAAACCUGAAGGGGUCCUUCCCGAUUCAACAAAAAAUUCCUCACAAACACCAAACCUUAAAGAGACCCUUAAGUUGAAACUUCGAUUUCUUGACCAAAGAAGCUGAAUCUUCGCCUUAAGGUCACAAGGAGCACAAAUGUCGCAGAUCUGCCUCAACUGCCUUCUGCGCAAAGAGAGGAACCCCUCCAAAAAGAUAAUUAUCAUCUCUUUUUAAUCCCUCUGUAGCCGAAGAGUGUGCUGCACCAUUUGCAUGUUUUGUUUUCGGAUCACAGCCAAAGAGUCACCCUCAAUCUCUACUCUUGGAAAACCCAACUAUAAGCCCAUCUUGCCCCCUCGACACACACCAUCGCUUCCGCUGCAAAAGGAGAAGUUGCCAGUAAACAAGAGGAACCUAACAGACUUUUGACUUUCAUGCAAAAGCCUAUUGCGCAUAGUCCAAAUCCCCCACUUUGCACAGCAGAACACACGACAAGAAUACAGAGUUAUGGCCAAAAACUGGUGAACCCAAUCUAUAAUUGAUAUCUCAGUUGUCGCUGUUUGUCUCGCAAUACCAAGUUGACACCAAAUUUCCUUUGAAUGCAGGCAAACUUCUAAGGGUCACCGAGCAACCUACUUUCCAUCCAAAACUUAAGCCUCCUCUCGAACCUACUGCCCCCACAUCGACACCACAAAAAUAACCACAUUUCAUCCGCACCUUUUCCAUCCUACUAGUAGAAAUUUUUGUCUCCAUAAAAAAGAUAAGUUGAGUAUUGGGUAAUCGGGCCUGGGCCGUUUCUUACCCUCACCCACUUGAAUUGGAUUUUGCUCCAAAUCAUUUCCCAUAGUAUCGAAAAUCAAUCCACUACAAUCACCAUCUUUUGGUAACUCAUUCCUUUUCUAAAUUUACUCCUAAAAUAGGACUUUCAUAAUUUUCGCCAAUAGGGACACCCUCCCCUUCUUCUAGCAACCAGACACUUCUCCCCACGGCGGCGCCAUCAACGUAAGAUCCCAUACUUGCGGCUUCUCUUCACCACCAUAAUUGAGACGGAUUGGACAGAAACUAUCUCUAUGGCCUAAUACACCACAAACAAAGCAAAACAAGGAUGAUUUUGCAUUUUUAAAUUUUGCAUGCGUAGUUCUUGUUGGAGAGAUUAUCAGCUUUUUCUUCCUUUUCAAAGGUUUUCUCACAUCUAUCUGAACACGAAUUCUCAAGAAAUAAUUAUUCCUUAUUUUAACUAAA